UAACUCAAGAGUUUGAUUCUGGCUCAGGACGAACGCUGGCGGUGUGCUUAAUACAUGCAAGUCGAGCGGACUUAUGGGGGCUUGCUCCCAUAAGUUAGCGGCGGACGGGUGAGUAACGCGCGAGCAACCUGCCUAUAUCUGGGGAAUAACACAGAGAAAUCUGUGCUAAUACCGCAUAAGACCACAGUGGGGCAUCCCACAGGGGUAAAAGAUUUAUCGGAUAUAGAUGGGCUCACGUACCAUUAGAUAGUUGGUAGUGUAACGGACUACCAAGUCGACGAUGGUUAGCCGACCUGAGAGGGUGAUCGGCCACAUUGG
rnacentral:rRNA from 1 species